GAUGAACGCUAGCGGCAGGCCUAACACAUGCAAGUCGAGGGGCAUCAGGAACAAUAGCAAUAUUGUUUGCUGGCGACCGGCGCACGGGUGCGUAACACGUAUGCAACCUACCUCAUACAGGGGCAUAGCCCAGAGAAAUCUGGAUUAAUUCCCCAUAAUAUAUAGAUAAGGCAUCUUAUUUAUAUUAAAGUUUCGGCGGUAUGAGAUGGGCAUGCGUCCAAUUAGCUAGUUGGCGAGGUAAAGACUCACCAAGGCUACGAUUGGUAGGGGGUCUGAGAGGAUGAUCCCCCACACUGGUACUGAGACACGGACCAGACUCCUACGGGAGGCAGCAGUGAGGAAUAUUGCGCAAUGGAGGAAACUCUGACGCGGCCAUGCCGCGUGAAGGAUGAAUGCCCUAUGGGUUGUAAACUUCUUUUGUACGGGAAUAAACCCUUGCUCGUGAGCGAGGUUGAAGGUACCGUAAGAAUAAGCACCGGCUAACUCCGUGCCAGCAGCCGCAGUAAUAC
rnacentral:rRNA from 1 species